UGAUGUACACUGAUCACAGUGACGGUCCUUGGAGGGGCAGGGCAUUGUCCCCACCCCCCAGACCAAGACUGUGUUGUUAUUUCAAAGCUGUGAUACAUAAUGUCGUAGAGUGUAUACUUUUCAAAUUUCAGUCUCUAUUUUUUCCCCCUUUUCAUUCUCCAUUUCAUAUUGAACUCUUGAUAUUAUUGUCAUUACAAUGCAACUAUUAUAAUAAUAUAAGGUGUAUAAUUGUAGAUGUUAGGAUAUUUCAAUUGUGUGGUUGUAAUGUUUCUAGAUGUACAGACGACUUUAAUUGAUCCCACUUCUGCCUCAGAACAUGUAAUAUUUAUUGUACUUCUCACGCAAUGAUGUACUUGGCUUUUUAUUCCUCUCGCUUAGUGUUCUUUAACUUAAUGCAGGACAGCAUCUUAUUUUUACCAUGGAUGUCUGUUGACAGAUUUUUAUAGAUUGUAUGCUCGUAUGUUGAUCUUUUUUCUUUUUCUUAUUCAGCGAGGGAUCUUUUUUAUCAUCCAAAUAUUAAAAUAAGACAUUUUGUAUAAUAUUCUUGGGAGCUUUUUUUAAAAGACCUCUAUAAUUUUUAUUAAUGAAAGAAUACUCAUAGAAUAUUAUAUAGAUUUAGUAGAUCUGAGGUAUAAACAAAUCCAGGUGUUUAUAUGCCCUUGACCUAUUUCCAAGGUCAGUGUUUUCUUUUUUAAUCCAUAUGUGUAGAAGAUGUACAUUAAACAAUUGUCUGUAUGAUAUGAUAACCUAAUUUAAUGGUAGAUAGCCCUGUAUUGUUUAUGUCUGUGUACAUUAUCUAUGUAUGUGAUAGAUAUAUAAAAAUCCAUUGUUAUUUUGUAACUCUGUAAGAGAAAGUGGGCUGCUGUCAGUGCUAAUUUGUAUGUCUCAAACUCAACAACAUUCUCCAUUGUAGCAUCUCCCUUUUAAACAUUUGUUACAAAUUGAAAAAUCUCUUUUGAUACGACAAAAUUGAAUUAAUUUCAAUGAAAAUGUUCCAAUAUGUUAUAACUUUAGUUUUACCUGUUUUUAUUAAGAAAUUUUCAGACAUUUUUCUUUCUUUAGUCAGCCCACUGCAAAGUCAAUUCUUCUGUAUGACUUUUUCGUUGCUCAGGUUCCAUUUUUUUUUUAAUUUAUGACCUUUGACCUCCUCCAUAUUGUUGACAUUGUAGCUUUAUGCUGACUGUUUAUAUUCUGUCACCAGGGGGCACUCACCCCUGUCCCAGCCAAUCAACUUCUUUCUGAACUACAAGCUGCUGUACAACCAACAGAUUGCUCACAUCAUGCUCUGUGUGUGUGUGUGUGAUUUGCUGAUUUAUGUACUGAGUUGACCUAGUUACCAUGGAGAUGGUUGCAUGGUGACUGGAGGUCACACAAUAUGUUUUGUUAAAUAUACAUAUUAUAUUAUAUCUUGUGACAAAUUGUUACAGGAUUUUUUUUUCCUGAACGAUAGCUGAAUAAGAAAUAAUAAAUGGUCAUGACUGCU
rnacentral:misc_RNA from 1 species